rnacentral:rRNA from 1 species
AUGAACGCUGGCGGCGUGCUUAACACAUGCAAGUCGAACGGGAAACCUUUUAUUGAAGCUUCGGCAGAUUUAGCUGGUUUCUAGUGGCGGACGGGUGAGUAACGCGUGGGUAACCUGCCCUAUACAGGGGGAUAACAACCAGAAAUGGUUGCUAAUACCGCAUAAGCGCACAGGGCCGCAUGGUCCGGUGUGAAAAACUCCGGUGGUAUAGGAUGGACCCGCGUUGGAUUAGCCAGUUGGCAGGGUAACGGCCUACCAAAGCGACGAUCCAUAGCCGGCCUGAGAGGGUGAACGGCCACAUUGGGACUGAGACACGGCCCAGACUCCUACGGGAGGCAGCAGUGGGGAAUAUUGCACAAUGGGGGAAACCCUGAUGCAGCGACGCCGCGUGAAGGAAGAAGUAUCUCGGGAUGUAAACUUCUAUCAGCAGGGAAGAUAGUGACGGUACCUGACUAAGAAGCCCCGGCUAACUACGUG